AUGCUUACCUGGACAGGGUCAGUGGACCAUCAAUAAAGGCCUAGGUUGGCGGCUUCCAUUGCACUUUGGAAGUGUGCCCACCUAAGGUCAGUUCAAGUGAUCAAACCUAUGUCAUAAUUUGUGAUUGUCCGGGCCUGCGUUCGUGCUGCCCCUGC